AUUACCCCCCUGAAUCCGUCGCCGGUAUCAAUCUCUCUGACAAAGAGAACAAAUCCCGAAGUAAAUGUCCGCUUUCUGAUUUAUUUCCAUUUCCCUCCGAGGGAAGUUGGGGCGUUUGUGAAGCGUCUCCUGCGGCCGGAGUCUGAUGUAUCGCUGAGAGUUAGACCUGCGGUGAGAGAUUUAUUGGUAGAAAAACCCCAACUGGAAGCAAACCACGACUGAAGAUGAGGGAACAGCAACAAGUGAACCAGCCCGAGGAUUGACAGCAUCAACUGGAGAGAACCCACCUGACUUGGAGAAUCCAGUGAUUCAGUCAGGAGAAAGUUUGGAUACAGGCACGAGUCAGAUCAAACAGCUGAGUCUUCUGGGUGGAGACAGCUGCUUCAAAAGAGGCCUGGUCAGCUAUUUCACUGUCCGUCACUAUCGCAGAGGGAUGUAGAGAGAUCACAGACCAUGCCAAAAAACAAAGGUUGAUUCAGCUAAAAAUGGCAAGGAGUUUGUCUGCGGAAACCUCGAACACAACACGCCAGUUUUGCUGUCUCUGUCCAGAUAUUUAAGAAGUGGAGCAAGGGUUUCACUCUAUCAUCCUUCCUGCUCAGAUUGUGGGGAGGGAUUCACUCGAUCAUCUGAACGACUGGCAUGCCCGUCAUUUUACACAGGGGAGAACCCAUUCAUCUGCUCAGACAGUGGGAAUGGAUUCAGUCGGUCAUUUCAACUGAAGGUACAUCAGCAAGUUCACACUGGGACAAGGCCAUUCACCUCUUCUGUGUGUGAGAAGGGAUUCAGUCGGUCUUCCCACCUGUGGACACACCAGUCAGUUCACACUGGGCAGAGGCUGGUUAUCUGCUGAAUUUGUGGUGAAGGAUUCACUCAGUCAUCUGACCUAAUGGCUCACCAGUGAGUUCACACUGGAGAGAGGCCAUUCACCUGCUCAGACUGCAGGAAGGGAUUCACUCGGUCAUCCAACCUACUGGUACACCAGCGAGUUCACACUGGGGUGAGGCCAUUCACCUGCUCGGGCUGUGGGAAAAGAUUCACUAUAUCAGCUCAGCUGAAGGAACAUCAGCGAGUUCACACUGGAGAGAGGCCGUUCACCUGCUCGGACUGCGGGAAGGGAUUCACUCAGCUAGCCUACAAGGACACAAGUCAGUUCACACUGGGGAGACGUUGUUCACCUGCUCAGACUGUGGGAAAGGAUUCACUCGGUCAGCCAACCUACUGGUACACCAGCGAGUUCACACUGGAGAGAGGCCAUUCACCUGCUCAGACUGUGGGAAGGGAUUCACUCAGUCAAAUCACCUACAAGCACACCGGUCAGUUCACACUGGGGAGUGGCCAUUCACCUGCUCAGACUGCGGGAAGGGAUUCACUUCCUCAUCCGAUCUGAAGGUACAUCAGCGAGUUCACACUGAAGAGGCCGUUCACCUGCUCAGUGUGUGGGAAGGGAUUCACUCGGUCAUCUAAUCUACAGACACCAGUGUGUUCACACUGGGUAGAGGCCGAUCUCCUGCUCAGACUUUGGGAAGAGAUUCUCUCAGCCAAAUCAACCAAAUGUGCAUCAUUGAGUUCACACUGGGGAGAGGCCGUUCACCUGCUGUGAAAGUGGAGAGCGACUCACUUGGUUAUCUAACCAUAUGUAACUCUCGCCUCGGCUAGCAGCUUAAUAUAGGGGGUGAUAGCCCCCACAUCCCGGCCAAACUUAAGAAAUCUCAUUUGGUUACUGGGCAUGGGAGGAGUUUCUUCUGCACAUUCACAUUUAAUGUGACUAGAGUUUAAUAUUCUGGAUCUGCGACAAAUAAAUCAGUUCUAUUUUAAAAUCUGUCUCCAGAACUUGGUGAAUUUAUAACAGACCUACUGUACAGUAGAGAAUCAACUCAGGCCGGCUGGACCCUGCCAGUGCUUCUGUUCCACGACGGUCCUUUUAAAUCCUCCCCUGCUGUUCCCCUCUCACUCUCCGUGUGGUGACGGGUUCCAAACAGUCACCACUCUGUGGGUGAAGAGGUUUCCCUUGAAUUUUCUGCAGACUUAAUAAGUCGAGUUGACUGUAGUUCUGUCUAAGAUGUGCUUCGCCCCUCUGAUCUCUGGGCUGAGGAACAAUGACAUUGGUAGUUCACCUCCUGAUGCAGGGCUCAUUUCCAGAUUAUGGGUCAUUUUCCCUGCUUCUCAAGUGUUGCUGUAAACACCACUGUCCUUGAAAGACUGAAAGCAGAAUGGGAAACCAUAAGUUGGAUGUUCAACAGAGCAGGGUCAGAAACCAGAGGCAGGUCUGCACAGGGCAGAGUUUGGGGAUCUGGACGAUGGUCGGGGUAAGAACGUAUGAUGAGGAGAAGGGAAUCAGGAGCGGGGCAUGGUAACGAAUGACAGAGUAACGACAUUUGGAAGCUGAUUGACAGAGAAAAUCUUUCGGUUGUCUGACUGAUGACACAAACAAUACCUGUGGUGAGGUGCUCCACUGGUCGAGGAACAUGUGUGUGUUGGGAAUGGUUUUAUUUAUUGAGGGAGUUGUUUCUGCUUGUUUAUCCUGUAAUAUUAUAUCUGGAUGGUUAUUAUGGAUUGUCCUAUCUGAAAUAAUGUAUGGAUUAUCAUGUAAUUUGUAAGAUUUUGACUCUAAAACUGCUUGAAUUUAUGGUGCCCUUAUGAAGUGAUGGAAGGCAUUCAUGAGUUUGUAUUUUAAAGCAAGAUUUUGGUGAAUGAUAUUUGCCACUUGUUUGUACCUUUCUAAGUAAUCAGAUUGAGUUAAACUGCUGCAGGAUCCCUGAAUGUGUUGGAUUGUGUCUGGUUUCUCUUGGCAUUUUCUGCACUUACUGCCUUGUUUGUUUGUAUUUCGUGCAUUUUUGAUUUUUUUUUCCCCUUUUGUUAACCACCUUGUCCUGUAUUUCUGCAAGGAACCCCACUGUUUCUGGGAAGAGGUCUCCAACUCUCAGUCAGGUGCUCAAUGCUUCCUUGUCACCAUCUCGUCUGCUCAGAUCAUUGGGAUGUCUCCCAUGGAGGGUCAUACUCAUUCCACUGGUUAAUGUUUUCUUCAAUCGUGAUGAUUCAUUUCUCUGAGUUGUCCUCUCAUUUAAGUUUUCAGGUCUGUAUUUCUUAUCACGAUUGCAUAUACGCACAUGGAGUGCUGAAUCCUGUUCAUUUUUGAUGAAAAUAUACACUCAGAAGUUUUAUCUGACUGGUUGUGUGAUUUUCUCUUUCAUUUGUGUUAUUCCUCUUCCUCCUUCUUUCGAAGGUAGUGUUAAUCUAAGUGGUUCUGAGUGUAAAUAGUCUUUUCUAAAGUUGUCAUUUCAAUUCUUUGUAAACUUUACUGAUUGAAAUGGGACCAACAUAUUUUCAUUAAAUAAAGUCAAUGUCGGU